CCUGCGGAGGAGGCCCGGAGCACGUGGGUUGGGGACCUGCGGAUCCCUGCCUGUCCUCGGCCUACCGCGACCAGCAGGCACUCUGGGUCAGACCGGUGCGGGGCGCUGCGGCCCAGUUCCCUAGUAGGAGGACGUGACUCGAGGAACCCGAGGACGGAGCGGGGAGUCCGGGCCAGAGGGUGGGGACUAGGGAGGUUGCCUGGUCACUCUGGCGCUCCGCUGCGGGGCAUCCUCCGGCCCAGCAAAGGUGCAGUCUGGGAAGAAGGCGUCAGCAUCACCCAAAGGAGAGGGUACUUGGAACGCCUCAGGAAGAAAAAAAGGAAGGCUCUCAGGACCACCCAAUAAGCAACCGGGAAACCACGUACCAUGGACAGUGCUCGGGGAAUUUCGUAAGGGCUCCUCCUUACUCCUGGGGAUUCCAGGGAUCUGGCAGAGAAAGAAGCGCAGAUUCACCAGCAAUGGCUCCUGAACAUCCUUUGCAAAUACUACUUAGGACAGAUGGACUGAAGAGGGAAGGUGGAACUAAGGAUCCUGAAUCCAUUUGGAGGCAGAGAGGGGCCAACAGGGUGUCUGAAGGGAGCAAACGCAUCGAAGUUUUGGGAGCACCUCGAAGUGGGGCAGUGAAUGCAGAAGAGUGGGAGCAUACACACGUUUCUCCUCCUCGACCCAGAAUGAGACAGCCUUCAGAGAGCUCUUGCUAGCUCCUCACUCUAGCCUGGGUGAAGGGGGCACCUGUGCCAAAGCAGGCAGGCACACAGGCAGAUUGGAAGGAAUUUCUGUCUGCAGUGUUACAUGCCUGAGGGAUCCCGCCCUCAACCCUCUCCGUCUCUCAUGGUGCUCUCAUCCACCCCCUGCUGCAGCUCCUGCCUCUGUGCUGACAGCUCUGUCAGUCCAGCCCAGACCUCCCCUGGCAGUUCCAGACCAGCUGAUCCCACUGCCUCCUGACAGCCACUCUGGAUGUCCCACCAUUCCUCAGACUUGGCACGCUUUCCAAAUCCACACCCCCAUCUCAUUUCCAAGGAAGAACAAUCAGAGAGGCUUCCCCAGUACAAAUGCAUAGGACGUGGGAAACAAGGUUUCAAAGGAUAUCCCAGAAAAGCUCAAGGAUAGCACUGGCCUUUUGGAGGUGGCUUGGGGUGGUGUGGGAGGCAGGGUCAGCACUAACUUUUCCUUUCUCCCCUACGAUGGUGUGGACUUUUUAGCUUCCUGUCCUUUUCAUACCAUUUGCCAAAUUGAAUUUAAAUAAUUAUCACUGUAAUUGCUUAUUUUUUGUCUGUCUUUCCCAGUUUAAGCUUCUCAAGGGCAGGGAUCUGUCCAUUUUGCUUCUGUAUCCUUGGCAUCUGUCAUAUAAUCAGUAUCAGACAUAUAACAGGUGCUUAAUAAAUAUUUGUUUGAAUUAA